CUGUACUUCUGUUCUGCCAGCCCUGUGAUUUGGCUGCUAAAGUCAUUUGGAUGUCAUCGCUUCUACUUGAAAUUCUCCAUAAAAAGAAAUGAGAUUGGCUCUGAAAGACAAGAAACCCUGGAGGAACAGCGAUGGUAAAUAAUAUACGUUCCCAAACAUGAGGCCUCCUGAAAUCUGUUUGCUUGAAGGACUCUGACGGCCCCAGUGCUGGGAGUCCAGCAAAAAGGACAUCCCUGAAGAAUUGUGUCACACUGUGUCUUGGUCUUAUUCCUGAUAGAAGAAACCAUAAUACUGUAAAAUACAAUUAACUUGCUUUUGUAUAUUCAGAGAUGAUAGUCCCAGGAAGAAUGGUGAAGAAGCGGUAUCUUGUUUUAGCACUUGGACCUGAGAAAGCGUUACUUGUCCCAACACCUUAGUCACCCAGUGAGAUCUUACCAAACCUCUGGUUUUGCUUUACUCAAUUCCUGGACUCACUAUACAAAGGUUUUGAACGACAGCUUGAUUCAUUUCUUCAGGAAAGAGAUGUAUAUAAAGACACCCAGGAAUGACAAACUUGCAUUCUGUAAGAUCAGUCACUGAAAGACUGAGUGCAGAAAUGAUGGCUAGAAAAUUAAGGAGGGGGAUAAGGAAAGUUAAAGGAGUUGUGCAUGACAGGCAUUAACUUUUAAUCCACUGAGAAUGCUGAGUGUAUUUUUUGGAUCUGCAUUUCCUCAUCCAGGUAAUCAGGUAUAUAAUCCAGGUAAUAAACUUCACAAGUUAAUUUCUUGAAACACGGAAAGGUUUCCAAAAAGCAUUAUUAUCUGGAAAAGACAUUGUCUUUUUCAAAUUGCACAUUUGUGCUGCAUUACAACUAGUCUGAGAGAGCUUGUCUGGUAAGCACAUAAUUUUCUGUUACAUUGGGAAAAUAAUCAUUAUUUUAGAGCCUUUUCUCUACUAGUUCUGUUUCUGCAGUGCAGGAAGAUAGUUAUUGGCUUUUUCCAAUACACUGAUGGCAAAACAGGCUUUUCAAGAACAUGAAAUUAAUAGCUUUCUCAUUUCUCCCUGCUUGAAUACUACUAUAGAUUAUUGAGGACCUCAGCAGCAAAAUUUUUCUGGAAAGAAAAGGCUACACUAUACUUCAAAGGAAAAUGAAAUGCCUGAUUUCACUUCCCACUCUGGAUAUCCAGUCACUGAUUCCUGCAGAGAUCCAGCUCUGGCAUGAGAGACCUCUGAGGCAUGAGGCUGCUUUGUGUGCUUGGCAUCAAAUUCAGACCAUUUUGAGAACUGUUCAGAUCUUCUGGAGGACGGUUGUUGUUUUUUUUCCCUCUGUAUUUCUUUCCAUAAGAAGGUGAUUCUAUUUUUAGAGCUUGGC
ensembl:lncRNA